CUGGGUUUGCAAACUUCUGUGUCCUCACCUGGCCAAAGAGGCCAGGAUCCUUUGGAGCUCUUUCAUAAGGGCACUUCAUCCUAUUCAGAAGGGCUCCACUCUUAUGACGUAGUAACAUCCAUAAAGCCCAAGGUACCAAUACUACCACCAUCACCUCUGGGAGUCAGGAUUUCAACCCAAAUCUGAGGGAGAUAAAGACAACCCGACUAGAGCAAAGUGCAAGAUGGGUGCCAAAGCCACGAUACGUCUUCACAUCACUGUGCCCAACGUGCAAGUAUCCUGGGGUUGCUGAUGUCCAAAGCCACACUGCCCCAGGCUGGUGGGACUCUGAGGAAUCUGAUGCAACAACUCUGACUGUCCCUUCUUGCUCCUUAAAAGAGGAUGAGCUAGCAGGAAGCUCUCAGGAAAGCCCAGCCUGGCCACCUGGAUCUCCUGGGAGAGGUACCGUCUUGCCCGCCUAUGUUUAAAAUCAGACUCGGCCUCUCAGGUGGAGACAACAGGCUGUAUUGAAAGCCCUUUCCCUUGAAAAUUAGACCUGAGCCCACUGCUUCAUAAGAACCCUGUACCCAAGAGCAUGGCUGAUUGCUAUUGCCCAGGAGGAUGUCAGGGUUAAGGAACCCCGGCUCCGCACAGGUUGCCACCCAUGGGCUGAGACACCUUCAAAAAGCCACUUAACCUUUCUGCACCUUCACCGCUUCAGGCGUGAAAUGAAGGGAUUGGGGGAUGGCUGGAGCCCUUUCCUGGAGAAGGCAAUGGCACCCCACUCCAGUAUUCUUGCCUGGAAAAUCCUAUGGAUGGAGGAGCCUGGUAGGCUGCAGUCCAUGGGGUCGCUAAGAGUUGUACACAACUGAGCAACUUCACUUUCACUUUUUCACUUUCAUGCAUUGGAGAAGGAAAUGGCAACCCACUCCAGUGUUCUUGCCUGGAGAAUCCCAGGGACGGCAGAGCCUGGUGGGCUGACGUCUAUGGGGUCUCACAGAGUUGGACACAACUGAAGUGACUUAGCAGCAGCAGGAGCCCUUUCCAGAAGUAAACGGCCAUGAUUUGGCCCUGAUUCGGGGUCCUUUCCCAGCUGGUCCUGGAGGAAGAGGGCAGGUCAGAGAAGGUCUCAGAGAUACAAGGACAAGCAUGAAAUAUCAGCCCAGUUGCACUGGGGAACCUCCAAUUACCUGGGAAGAAAGUUCCAGUCUGUGUGCGGGGCCUCAAUGCCAUUCUGGCAUCAACAAUGCUCCUCUGAGCUGGGAGCCUGGAUGCCAUAUAUAUAUUUGUUUUUCUCUUUUUGACUUGCUUCAUUGUCUAUGACAGACUGUGUGUCCAUCCACAUUUUUACAAAUGACUCAAAUUUUAUUCCCUUUUAUGGCUAAUAUUCCAUUGCAUGUGACAUAAUUUUCUCUUUUAAGAACAGGAAGGUGAUUUGUUUAAUGAAAAGUAAUAUGAAAUAAGUGGCUGAAUCUGGGCAAAGGCGUG
rnacentral:lncRNA from 1 species